AACCGCGGUUAUACGAGAGGCCCAAGUUGACAGCCGUCGGCAUAAAGGGUGGUUAAGUAAAAUUUUAAACUAAAGCUAAAUGCUCUCAAGGCAGUUAUACGCACCCGAGAGCCAGAGGAACCCCUACGAAAGUGGCUUUAACCUAUUCUGACCCCACGAAAGCUGUGAAA
rnacentral:rRNA from 1 species